CUCAGGAGGGAUCUGUGCUGGCUGUCAUAUCAGGGCUUCACUGCUCCUCAUAGCCAGCGGUGGGGUACGUCUCCCCCUCCUGACCCUGAAACAUGUACUGGGACACAGCAGCAGGGAUGAGGGCAUUAGCCAGCUCCUGCAAAUGCACAUAGAAAUAGUUGAGAAAAUAGUUCAUACAAUCAUGCAAGCAGUAAUUAGAAAAUGCUCUCGUCGUUUUUUUGUUUUGUUGCGCCAUCAUGCAUUUAAGCAACACUAUUUAACUUUAUGGCCCUCUAGCGGUUGAAGUAUUAAACUACAAGUUACCUGCGGAGGAACAUUGUUUUGGUAAUUACGUGAGUUGUGCUUUGGUUCAGCUACUUUGCUUGGUUUUCAUUCCUGUGAGAAAUUAAACGGCUGCGCUACCCUGAGGUCUAUAACAAAAGACGGAUAAAUAUGUUUUGAGCAGGUGUAAACAUCGGAUUCGCUCUCUCCCUGUAUCGAUUCAGACUUACAUCCAUUGCUGCAGCACUGGUUUCCAUGCUCUGCUGGUGACUCCUCAGAAGCAGCUGUAAAUCCUCCAGGCUCAUGUCAACAUUCUCCACACCAUCAGGAAUCUCUGAUCUUACAUACAAAUUAAAAUAGAUUUUUAAAUUAACUGAAAUGUCCUCGGCCCUCUAGGACGGACUGUACCAUGGCAACAGGGAGGACGGGGGGUUCAGUGCACACCUCACAGGAGCCGAGUGGUACACCCUCUCCUCGUCCCUGCACCCCAGGACUCACCGGCUCUUCCUUAAUCAGCAUCAUACACUUUUCUCUAAACAAAUAGACAAAUUCCGUUGUAUUUCUUCUCAAAUGUCAUGUUUUCUGUCAACAUUUUCCAAAUUUUGGAAAUUAUAGGGCCCUACUAAACAAUAUUAAAAAGAUAGUU